rnacentral:misc_RNA from 1 species
GUUUCAUCAUCAUCAAAGGUUAAAAAUCAUUUGUGAAUAAUGAUUCUUGUUUAUAUACAUGCUUUUCGGGGAGCGAGAUCAAGCUGUCAGUUCAGUUUUGUUUGAUAAAUCAUUUGCCUCUCUUAAAAGUGGGAAUUGAGCUGGCUGUCGCAUAAAAGAGUCGAGGCGUCUUCGAGGAUUGAUAAAUGCUCAAUUUCUCAAGUCCUUUGGCCAGUAGGCAACUCUUUAUUCUUCUGUAAUUUUACUUCGUGUUUUAAGAUAAAAAGGUAGGUAAAUCUGUACCACACCGAUUGCGGUUAAUUUUUUUUUCAUUUCAAUCUUAGAAUUUUGAAAUUCAUUUUAAAUUUCAUAUUAGCUAGUAAAUAUAUUAGGUGGUUAAAAUGGAGUGAGC